CUGUAAUGAUGACUUUCUUAGGACACCUUUGGAUUAAUUCAUGAAAACACUAUGAUUUCUGAGCAGC